rnacentral:rRNA from 1 species
ACGGGUGAGUAACACGUAGGCAACCUGCCCUCAAGCUUGGGACAACUACCGGAAACGGUAGCUAAUACCGAAUACUUGUUUUCUUCGCCUGAAGGGAACUGGGAAGACGGAGCAAUCUGUCACUUGAGGAUGGGCCUGCGGCGCAUUAGCUAGUUGGUGAGGUAACGGCUCACCAGGGCGACGAUGCGUAGCCGACCUGAGAGGGUGAUCGGCCACACUGGGACUGAGACACGGCCCAGACUCCUACGGGAGGCAGCAGUAGGGAAUCUUCCGCAAUGGGCGAAAGCCUGACGGAGCAAUGCCGCGUGAGUGAUGAAGGUUUUCGGAUCGUAAAGCUCUGUUGCCAGGGAAGAACGCUUAGGAGAGUAACUGCUCCUGAGGUGACGGUACCUGAGAAGAAAGCCCCGGCUAACUACGUGCCAGCAGCCGCGGUAAUACGUAGGGGGCAAGCGUUGUCCGGAAUUAUUGGGCGUAAAGCGCGCGCAGGCGGUCAUUUAAGUCUGGUGUUUAAUCCCGGGGCUCAACCCCGGAUCGCACUGGAAACUGGGUGACUUGAGUGCAGAAGAGGAGAGUGGAAUUC